GUGAAUUGAAUAUGUUAGCGGACCUCUUCGGAGUCCCUAGCAUCAAAUCAUAUCCAUAACACCUGUGAACUGUAAGGCUGUCUUGAAAACGAAAGUGAUUAGAGCGCCUGCCCAUUUUAUACAAACACUAAAGUAACAAACGUAGUCUUAUUAUAAUCUAAUA
rnacentral:misc_RNA from 1 species